rnacentral:rRNA from 1 species
GGGGACAGAGAGACAGGUGGUGCAUGGUUGUCGUCAGCUCGUGUCGUGAGAUGUUGGGUUAAGUCCCGCAACGAGCGCAACCCCUAUGGUCAGUUGCCAGCACGUUAAGGUGGGCACUCUGGCGAGACUGCCGUUGACAAAACGGAGGAAGGUGGGGACGACGUCAAAUCAUCAUGCCCCUUAUGUCCUGGGCUACACACGUACUACAAUGGCAACAACAGAGGGCAGCCAUGCCGCGAGGCAGAGCGAAUCCCAAAAUGUUGUCUCAGUUCAGAUUGCAGGCUGCAACUCGCCUGCAUGAAGUCGGAAUUGCUAGUAAUGGCAGGUCAGCAUACUGCCGUGAAUACGUUCCCGGGCCUU